rnacentral:rRNA from 1 species
CGUGUAGGUGGCUAAUUAAGUCAGGUGUGAAAUCCUUCCGCUUAACGGGAGGAAGUGCACUUGAAACUGCUUAGCUAGAGUACGGGAGAGGAAGGUGGAAUUCCUGGUGUAGAGGUGAAAUUCAUAGAUAUCGGGAAGAACACCGGUGGCGAAGGCGGCCUUCUGGCCCGAUACUGACGCUGAGACGCGAAAGCGUGGGGAGCAAACAGGAUUAGAUACCCUGGUAGUCCACGCCGUAAACGUUGGGCACUAGGUGUGGGAGGUUUUUAUUCCUUCUUUGCCGAAGCUAACGCAUUAAGUGCCCCGCCUGGGGAGUACGGUCGCAAGGCUAAA